UCUCAAGGUACCUGUGCCUAACCACCAGACUAUACUACCUCCUUUGAGAGAACUGGUCUCGCAUCCCUGGUUUGCUGGAUAACUGGGCAAGGACUGCCAUCCGUUCAGUCAGCAAACAUUUGUCAGGAUUCUGUCCUGAUCUCACUGCCAGCCUCCACCACCUGGAGCCAGAUCCCUGCUCCAGGCUCCCCAGAACCCAGAGGAAAUGUCUGCACGCUGAGUCAGCGAAGCCCGCAGCACAUGCUCCUUGAAGGCAAAGCUACAACAAACCUAAGCCUCGUGAACCAUGGAGGGCAGGACCCAGAACAGAGAGUGGCUCCAGCAGCCUCCAAGAACCAAGCAAACCUCUCCAGAGCUUGGAGGCCGGGCCGGGGGAGCUGCCGGAGCCCUUGGAGGGAGGGAGAGCUGGAACUUCAAAGGCCGUGUCGCUGAGGAUUCCAGCUACAGCCUUCCAGGUUUGCAUUUGGCUUCAUUUCUUGGACUCACUUGGCUCUGGGGACUGAGGUUGUACUUGUAUGUACCGAGAAGAGAUUGCUGCUUCUUUUUUUUUUUUUUUUUUCCACUGGGGGGGAAAUACCACCUUCACUAAAUGGUACGUGGCCAUUUUCCAAAUCCUUUUACAGGGAUCCAUUAAUCCUCACGUCAACCCUAUGAAGUGCCUUCAUGGACUGUUGUCCCCAUAUUACAGAUGGGGUAAUUGAACAGGAAGCACUCUGGGGGCUGUCCAGGACACACAGAACAGGGCUGGCUCUGGUUCAAAGGUCUUGUGAGGCCACCACAGGGAGGGGAAAAUUAUGUGAUAGGUGGAUUUGCUCCCGGGUCUCAGAAUGUAAAUCUCACUGAGCCAGAACCCAACAAACCAAGUCAUCCCAGAUUUUGCCUUCUUCUUCUGCCUUUUCUGGGAAGGAGGCGGUCUCAGGAGGCAUGGAAAUAAACUAAGAUUUGAAUGUUCCUCCGAAGAAGUG
rnacentral:lncRNA from 12 species